GCCAGCGGGGCUCUGCGGCUGCCUGCCCGACAGAUGCCUACCUCCGGGAGGGGGGGAAGUGUUUUCCUUGCAAGAUCUGCGGAGGUGAGCAGGGUUACGAGAGGGAGUGCUCUGAAACAGCAAAUGCAGUUUGCAAAUGCAUUUGGUGUGAAGGGUGCAGGAUUGGAAAGCAGUGGACCGAGGAAGGUAAAGUAGACCCUUUUCAUUUU